CGCUGUCCCACUAUCAUUUCUGCCCAGUGUCUUUCUGCAGCCUCCCCCAGUCCCUAGGAGCUGAGCACGAUCCCCCUUCUCUGUUUUAUCUUAUAUCUGGCAUCCAUUUACCACUGCCCUGUGUCCUUCUUCCCUACAAUGCCCAGUAUGGAGAGGGAUGGCAUUUCUUCAGCUCGCAGGCUGGUAGACACUGAAGACCGCAUGCUGGUGGCUGUACCAGCAACACAGCAGCACCUCCUUGCUACUGACAGGGGCAGUAAAUUCCCUGGCACUUGCAGUGCACAGCAAUACUAUCCCUAUUCAGGCUUUUGGCUUGUGGAAAAACUUCAUUUCUAAACUGGAAUGAAAGACAGAGAUUUUCACAGCAACAACCCCAGCCUCCCUGUUCCCCCUUGGAUCCUCCCCACAACCAGAUCUCUGACAGAUCUCACUGAACCCCUGGUUUGAAUGCUAAAGAAGUUCAAGGAUGGCCCAAAAUCCCAA